UUAAGCGACUAAGCGUACACGGUGGAUGCCCUGGCAGUCAGAGGCGAUGAAGGACGUGCUAAUCUGCGAAAAGCGUCGGUAAGGUGAUAUGAACCGUUAUAGCCGGCGAUGUCCGAAUGGGGAAACCCAGUGCAAUUCGUUGCACUAUCGUUAACUGAAUACAUAGGUUAACGAGGCGAACCGGGGGAACUGAAACAUCUAAGUACCCCGAGGAAAAGAAAUCAACCGAGAUUCCCCCAGUAGCGGCGAGCGAACGGGGAGCAGCCCGGAGUCUGAAUCAGCUUGUGUGUUAGUGGAAGCGUCUGGAAAGUCGCAGGGUACAGGGUGAUACUCCCGUACACUAAAACGCACAGGUUGUGAACUCGAAGAGUAGGGCGGGACACGUGGUAUCCUGUCUGAAUAUGGGGGGACCAUCCUCCAAGGCUAAAUACUCCUGACUGACCGAUAGUGAACCAGUACCGUGAGGGAAAGGCGAAAAGAACCCCGGCGAGGGGAGUGAAAAAGAACCUGAAACCGUGUACGUACAAGCAGUAGGAGCCCACUAGUUGGGUGACUGCGUACCUUUUGUAUAAUGGGUCAGCGACUUAUAUUCUGUAGCAAGGUUAACCGUAUAGGGGAGCCGCAGGGAAACCGAGUCUUAACUGGGCGUUAAGUUGCAGGGUAUAGACCCGAAACCCGGUGAUCUAGCCAUGGGCAGGUUGAAGGUUGGGUAACACUAACUGGAGGACCGAACCGACUAAUGUUGAAAAAUUAGCGGAUGACUUGUGGCUGGGGGUGAAAGGCCAAUCAAACCGGGAGAUAGCUGGUUCUCCCCGAAAGCUAUUUAGGUAGCGCCUCGUGAACUCAUCUUCGGGGGUAGAGCACUGUUUCGGCUAGGGGGUCAUCCCGACUUACCAACCCGAUGCAAACUACGAAUACCGAAGAAUGUUAUCACGGGAGACACACGGCGGGUGCUAACGUCCGUCGUGAAGAGGGAAACAACCCAGACCGCCAGCUAAGGUCCCAAAGUCAUGGUUAAGUGGGAAACGAUGUGGGAAGGCCCAGACAGCCAGGAUGUUGGCUUAGAAGCAGCCAUCAUUUAAAGAAAGCGUAAUAGCUCACUGGUCGAGUCGGCCUGCGCGGAAGAUGUAACGGGGCUAAACCAUGCACCGAAGCUGCGGCAGCGACGCUUAUGCGUUGUUGGGUAGGGGAGCGUUCUGUAAGCCGUUGAAGGUGGCCUGUGAGGGUUGCUGGAGGUAUCAGAAGUGCGAAUGCUGACAUAAGUAACGAUAAUGCGGGUGAAAAACCCGCACGCCGGAAGACCAAGGGUUCCUGUCCAACGUUAAUCGGGGCAGGGUGAGUCGACCCCUAAGGCGAGGCCGAAAGGCGUAGUCGAUGGGAAACAGGUUAAUAUUCCUGUACUCGGUGUUACUGCGAAGGGGGGACGGAGAAGGCUAUGUUGGCCGGGCGACGGUUGUCCCGGUUUAAGCAUGUAGGCGGAUGUUCCAGGUAAAUCCGGAACGUUACUAACGCUGAGGUGUGAUGACGAGGCACUACGGUGCUGAAGUGACAAAUGCCCUGCUUCCAGGAAAAGCCUCUAAGCAUCAGGUAACAUCAAAUCGUACCCCAAACCGACACAGGUGGUCAGGUAGAGAAUACCAAGGCGCUUGAGAGAACUCGGGUGAAGGAACUAGGCAAAAUGGUGCCGUAACUUCGGGAGAAGGCACGCUGAUGGUAGGUGAAGUGACUUGCUCAUGGAGCUGAAAUCAGUCGAAGAUACCAGCUGGCUGCAACUGUUUAUUAAAAACACAGCACUGUGCAAACACGAAAGUGGACGUAUACGGUGUGACGCCUGCCCGGUGCCGGAAGGUUAAUUGAUGGGGUUAUCCGUAAGGAGAAGCUCUUGAUCGAAGCCCCGGUAAACGGCGGCCGUAACUAUAACGGUCCUAAGGUAGCGAAAUUCCUUGUCGGGUAAGUUCCGACCUGCACGAAUGGCGUAAUGAUGGCCAGGCUGUCUCCACCCGAGACUCAGUGAAAUUGAACUCGCUGUGAAGAUGCAGUGUACCCGCGGCAAGACGGAAAGACCCCGUGAACCUUUACUAUAGCUUGACACUGAACACUGGUCCUUGAUGUGUAGGAUAGGUGGGAGGCUUUGAAGUGUGGACGCCAGUCUGCAUGGAGCCAUCCUUGAAAUACCACCCUUUAAUGGCUGGUGUUCUAACGUGGGCCCCUAAUCGGGGUUGCGGACAGUGUCUGGUGGGUAGUUUGACUGGGGCGGUCUCCUCCUAAAGAGUAACGGAGGAGCACGAAGGUCAGCUAAUCCUGGUCGGACAUCAGGAGGUUAGUGCAAUGGCAUAAGCUGGCUUGACUGCGAGCGUGACGGCGCGAGCAGGUGCGAAAGCAGGUCAUAGUGAUCCGGUGGUUCUGAAUGGAAGGGCCAUCGCUCAACGGAUAAAAGGUACUCCGGGGAUAACAGGCUGAUACCGCCCAAGAGUUCAUAUCGACGGCGGUGUUUGGCACCUCGAUGUCGGCUCAUCACAUCCUGGGGCUGAAGUAGGUCCCAAGGGUAUGGCUGUUCGCCAUUUAAAGUGGUACGCGAGCUGGGUUUAGAACGUCGUGAGACAGUUCGGUCCCUAUCUGCCGUGGGCGCUGGAGAAUUGAGGGGGGCUGCUCCUAGUACGAGAGGACCGGAGUGGACGCAUCACUGGUGUUCGGGUUGUCAUGCCAAUGGCAUUGCCCGGUAGCUAAAUGCGGAAGAGAUAAGUGCUGAAAGCAUCUAAGCACGAAACUUGCCCCGAGAUGAGUUCUCCCUGACUCCUUGAGAGUCCUGAAGGAACGUUGAAGACGACGACGUUGAUAGGCCGGGUGUGUAAGCGCAGCGAUGCGUUGAGCUAACCGGUACUAAUGAACCGUGAGGCUUAACCU
rnacentral:rRNA from 1 species